rnacentral:rRNA from 1 species
AGAGUUUGAUCCUGGCUCAGGACGAACGCUGGCGGCGUGCCUAAUACAUGCAAGUCGAACGCACUCUCGUUUAGAUUGAAGGAGCUUGCUCCUGAUUGAUAAACAUUUGAGUGAGUGGCGGACGGGUGAGUAACACGUGGGUAACCUGCCCUAAAGUGGGGGAUAACAUUUGGAAACAGGUGCUAAUACCGCAUAAAACCUAACACCGCAUGGUGUAGGGUUGAAAGAUGGUUUCGGCUAUCACUUUAGGAUGGACCCGCGGUGCAUUAGUUAGUUGGUGAGGUAAAGGCUCACCAAGACCGUGAUGCAUAGCCGACCUGAGAGGGUAAUCGGCCACACUGGGACUGAGACACGGCCCAGACUCCUACGGGAGGCAGCAGUAGGGAAUCUUCCACAAUGGACGAAAGUCUGAUGGAGCAACGCCGCGUGAGUGAAGAAGGUUUUCGGAUCGUAAAACUCUGUUAUUGGAGAAGAAUGUAUCUGAUAGUAACUGAUCAGGUAGUGACGGUAUCCAACCAGAAAGCCACGGCUAACUACGUGCCAGCAGCCGCGGUAAUACGUAGGUGGCAAGCGUUGUCC